UGCCCAGUAACUCCUACCCCUACCUCCACGCGGUACCGGCCGGAAACUAUGAGCAACCUUAGGGAAGA
rnacentral:ribozyme from 1 species